GACGAACGCUGGCGGCGUGCCUAACACAUGCAAGUAGAACGCUGAAGGCGGAGCUUCCUCUUAUGGAUGAGUCGCGAACGGGUGAGAAACGCGUAGGUAACCUGCCUGGUAGCGGGGGAUAACUAGGGGAAACGGUAGCUAAUACCGCAUAAGAGUAGAUGUUGCAUGACGUUUGCUUGAUAGGUGCAAUUGCAUCACUACCACAUCGACUUGCGUUGUUUUUGCUGGUUUGUGGGGUUACGGCUUACCAAGGCGACGAUUCAUAGCCGAACUGAGAGGGUGAUCGGCCACCCUGGGGCGGAGACACGGCCCAGACUCCUGCGAGAGGCAGCAGUCGGGUAUCUUCGGCAAUGGACGGAAGUCUGACCCAGCAACGCCGCGUGAGUUGCGACGGUUUUCGGUUCGUGAAGAUCUGUUGUAAGAGAAGAACGAGUGUGGGAGUGGAAAGUUCACACUGUGACGGUAUCUUACCAGAAAGCGACGGCUAACUACGUG
rnacentral:rRNA from 1 species